GACGAACGCUGGCGGCGUGCUUAACACAUGCAAGUCGAACGGUAAGGCCCCAGCUUGCUGGGGUACACGAGUGGCGAACGGGUGAGUAACACGUGGGUGACCUGCCCCGCACUUCGGGAUAAGCCUGGGAAACUGGGUCUAAUACCGGAUAGGACCGCACCGUGAGGGUGUGGUGGAAAGUCUUUCGGUGUGGGAUGGGCCCGCGGCCUAUCAGCUUGUUGGUGGGGUAAUGGCCUACCAAGGCGGCGACGGGUAGCCGGCCUGGGAGGGUGGACGGCCACAUUGGGACUGAGACACGGCCCAGACUCCUACGGGAGGCAGCAGUGGGGAAUAUUGCACAAUGGGCGGAAGCCUGAUGCAGCGACGCCGCGUGGGGGAUGACGGCCUUCGGGUUGUAAACUCCUUUCACCAUCGACGAAGGUUUUCUGACGGUAGAUGGAGAAGAAGCACCGGCUAACUACGUG
rnacentral:rRNA from 1 species